UGCCAGGUAUUCUGCUAAGCGUUGAGAACAAUGCAGAGAAGUCUUGGUUCUUGCCUUCACAGCACUUCAAUGAGGGUCACAGACACACACACAAAGUUACAUGUGGUGCUAUGGAAGGCUGGAGAUCUAGUAAUCAAGGAAGAUGGUAUGCAACUCUAAUUAAAACGUUCAGUAAUGUGGAACAGAUUCUGAGAGCAGAAGGAGCAUAGAAAUAGCAGGGUUCAGAGGGUUUCUUUUAACUCGAAGAUGAACUUCACGAAGAAUGGAAAAAAAUCUAUCAAGUGCCAGGCACUAUACUAAGCAUUCCACAUGCAUUAAAGCUGUGUCAUUAUCUCCAGUUUACAAUUAAAGAAACGGAAGCAUAUAUUAGGGUGUAAAGAAGGUGAUCAGAGGAGAGUGCUGGAUUAGAGAGGUUCACCACUUCCUGCCUUGGCGAAAAUGAUGGCAUGAGUUAAUCUAAGGAGUCAGACAAAUCUACAAAAGAACACCAGAAGCUGGGUGAUUUUGCCAUGGGCUCUCCUUGAAAAUACAUUAUACAAAGAGCUGGUGUAUCCUGAUGGUUUCCAGCAGGAUAGUGACCAGCAGGGAUGUGGACCUCCAGCUGUACUGAACAUGAAGUACAUGGAAACAUUUGUGGAGGAAAACUCCAAGGAAAGAUAGGACUUCCUAUUAAAUUACAAUGGCUCAGAGACGUCGUAAUUUACAGGAUUCGUGCAAACAUACCCUCAUACGUGCUUCCGUGUUAGUGAAGUGAAACACCAGUUUAAUACAAAAAUACCUACAACUGUAAAAUGAGAGCAGUUGCAGGCCUUAAGAUUGACAUUACAUCACUGCAAAUAAUAUUUAUGAAGAUCAUUUAAGAGGAAGAAAAACAUAUUUAGGAUAUACCAAGUAAAACUAAAACUACAGGCUGUAUUGUUCUUACAUUAUAUUACACUUUCCACUAUGCAAAAACAAACAUGACGAGAUGGAACAGAGGAAAUACACCCAAAUGUUUUAAUACAACUGGUGACUUCUUCCCCCUUCUACUUUAAUGUCUUCUCUGAAUUUUCCUUUAGGAGGAUAUAUUUUGCUUGGUUUAUGUUUUGGCCAAUUAAAAAUACAAAUAAGUAUAAGAAAGCAAACACUGAUAAACUUACCCUAUAAAUUUAAUAGUAUGCUGUCAUAUUUACUUUUUUUUUUUUCUAAAGAAAACAUAUGGUGAGGCUAAAAUCCCCUUUAAUUCCUCUCUGGUCCCCUUUCCCUCCUUCCCAGGGACAACUAUUACAAGUUGCAUGUGUAUCUAUCCAGGCUAUUUCUUCUCCAAGCUUAUUUUAAAUUUACAUAUAGAACUCACAUUUUAGUGUAUAGAUCUGAGUAUAGACAAGUCAUAUAACCAUCACCACAAUUAAGAUACAGAAUAUCCCCCAAAGAUGCUGUGACCAAACCCUACCUCCAGGCUUAAGCCUUGGCAACCAAUGAUCUAUCCUCUGUCCAUAGUUUUGUGUUUUCCAGAAUGUCAUAUAAUGGAAUCAUACAGUACAUAGUCUGGCUUUUCACUUAGCAUUAUCAGUUUGAGAUUAAUCCAUGGUGUUGUAUGUAUCCAACAGCAUAUUCCUUUUUGUUGCCAAAUGGUAUUCCACUAUCCACUCACCAACUGAAGGACAUUUGAGUUGUUUCCAGUUUUUAGCAAUCAUGAAUAAACUGCUAUAAACAUCUAUAUACAGAUUGUGUUGUGUGUAAACACAUUUUCAUUUUUCCUGAGAAUCACCUAGGGGUGAGUUUGUUGGGUCAUAUGUUAAGUGUAUGUUUAGCUUCAUCAGACAUUGCUAAAUUUGCUAAUCUGUCUUCCUAGGGUGGCUAUUACCAUUUUGCAUUCUCGCCAGCAAUUCAAAAGUGUUUCAGUUGUUCCAUAUCCCUGCCUACACUUAGUACUAUUAGGUUUUUUUGUUUUUUAAAAAAGUUUUAGCUAUUCUAAUAAAUUACAUUGUGGCAACCCACUAAGGGUUUAGUAUUUCCCCAGUGACUAGCAAUUUGAUUAUCUUUUCAUGAGCUUGUUUGCUAUCCUCUUUGAGGUCUUUUAUCCACUUAUUAGUUUUUAUUGUUGAAUUUUGAUAGUUUUUAUCCAAGCCAAUUUUUAGUGCUUCUCAUAUACUUGUAGAUACCCAUAAUCUACAUGUGGUAUAUUACUUUUACAAUGGUAAAAAAAAAAAAAAAAAAAAUUAAAAAUAGCCAAAAAACAGAAAACUUGAUUCCCACAAAUAAUAAAAUUGUAGCCUGUAAUAUUUUCCCCUAUUUAAUAAAGUUGAUGCUGCAUUGUUCCUUUAUCUUUUUUUCCUGCGGUUUUUAUACACAUGUCAUUUUGGUGUCUUUUGGCUUUCAUGGGAAAAUACAGUGAAUACAGUGCAUAAUGACUAUGUUAUAUGCUCCUAGACACCCUGUGUGCUUCUCCCCAUUUUAUCUUCUUCACUGCCUCAUGUAUUGUAGUCAUACAGUGUAUUAAUAAACAACUUCUGAGGCAAAAUGUCUGUCAAAGUCAAAAUAAAUUAUUUAUUGGACAUCCUCUAAAAAUAUGGUGUUAAUGUUUCCCCUUAUAAUGCAUUUAUUGUCCACGUGUAUUUUUUUAAGAUUUUAUUUUUAAGUAAUCUCUAUACCCAAGUGGAGCUCAAACUCAAUCAAAACCCUGAAAUCAAGAGUCACAUGCUCCCCAAUGACUGAGCCAGUCAGGCACCUGUGUACAUGUGUACUCUUCAAGUCACACUGGGAUUAUCACAUUAAAUGAGUUCAAAUUUGCAGAUAAAAUAAUCUCAAUUCAAAAAUGUUAUAUGUAUACAUAUACAUAUAUAUACACACACAUAUAUAUAUAUAUUCUUUGUACUAUUCUUACAACUUUACAACUUUUCUAUGAGCCUGAAACUUGUUUCACAAUAAAAUAAUUUUUUAAAUGCUAUGGGUGGGAGAUGCAGAUUAAGGCACAAUACCCACCUCACCCUUGGUAGUCUCAACAAACCCAAAGGCACCAAAAGAAUCAGAGCAAACAACUGCCCUGGAGUUGUUCAAUGCAAACACCUAUUCCAAUGGGUAACACUUAGCUAAACAUGACAGUUGCCCUUUUGCUCUGUUAGGUUGUCAAUGAGAUCCAAGGAGAGGCUAAUAAAGGACCAGCAUUGCACAAAAAACAGAAAUGUGGGAGUCCUCGAAUAACUCUGUACUAAUUGGGAUUAAGGAGACUUGGUUUUUAGUGUUGGCUUGACCACCAGUUAAGUGGAUGGAUAUAUCACACAACCUGUCUAGGCUUGUUUAUUCAUUUCUAAAACAGCAACAGUAUACUAGAUGGAUCCCUAAAAUUCUUUCUCAUCUUAAAGUUGUAUUAUUUCUAGCCAAUCCUAACCUUUGGAAAAUUUAGUAUACAGGUUAGCUUUUCUUAACAAAAUAAACCUGAGAGCCCUAAAUCAAUCUGAUUUUGUUGUAUAACCUACUUGACAGCCACACCUGUCUUUAGAAAGCUGCUGUAUUUUCUUACAGUUACUAAUGGCACCAACUGUCUGCAAACUGCCAGACUAAGUCCCAACUCACAUUCUCCAGAGCCAAGUUUAGGCAAAUAUUUCCUCGUAACCAACAGUGUGAAACGGAGUGCAAAUGCUGAGAAGGAACCUAGAAAUGAACAAUAGGCUUUCUGUCCCAUUCAGCAUGGCCUACAGUAACAAAUACUAUUCACAAACAUGCUUUACUCAUGAAAUAAAGGUGGUAAACUCAAAGUACUAGGUAAGUAACAAGAGUAACAGAACUUGGUACAUUUCUAAUACCAAAAACAUCAGUUCCCCAUUUCUUCCUGCUUCUGAAAUCUAGGGUCAAGAGACUGGAAACUGCUUUAUUAUCAAGAGAUUUGUAAUCCAUUUAUGCCUAAUAGCUCACUGGCUCAAAUCUAUUUUUAGUUUUUUAAUAAACGUAAGAUUAAACCAAAUUAUAGGGAGAAAACACUUCCAAGUAUAAAAGAAUAAAGAGUUUCUCUUGAAGGUUCCUAUGGAUGGCUGAGAUGUGUCAUAUUUACCUCAUUUCCUACUUACAUUAGAAAAUAUGAAAGUUCUUCAGGAUUAUCCUUCUUCAAAAAUCAUUAAGAUUUGGGAUGCCUGGGUGGCUCAGUAGUUGAGUGUCUCUCUUUGGCUCAGAGUGUGAUCCUGUAGUCUUAGGAUCAAGUCCCACAUCAGGCUCCCUGCAGGAAGCCUGCUUCCUCCCUCUGCCUAUGUCUCUGUCUCUCUUGAAUAAAUAAAAUCUUAUUUAAAAAAAAAAAAAGAGAGAUCAUUAAGAUUUCAUAAGGAAAGGAGGCACCACGUGGAUAACUUUCUGAGGUCUAACCUCAGAAGAAAAUGAACUCAAUCUAAAUUUUCAUUUUGAGGAGGUGACUGAGAACCAUCUGAAUUUAGCAAAUCUGGGCAAUUUUAACACCUCUGAAAUUCAGUCUUCUUACAGUCCAAGUCAAAAUAAUUACCCUGUCAACACCCUAGUUUUGUUAUAAGGAUUAAACAUUACAGUUUUUAAAAAAAGAAACUAGAAUGAUUUAGUAAAUGUAGAUUAAAAUGUAAAAUAAAUUUUAUCAUCCUCAGUAAGGACAAAUGUCCUUAUUAUUCUAUAAACUGAAGACCUCAGGAGGAAAAUAAAUGGUUGGUUAGCCUAACACUAUGGACUGCAAUGACCUGUGAGCAAAGAUGUGUAGGACUUAAGAGUAAAAUUCCAGUUCUGGGGCAUGACCAGAUAAGGCCUUUCAGAAGGGGGAUGUAGUUGCUUCUCUUGGCUAGACCCAAAGAUAGCUAGAGUUGAUUAAAUUCCUUAGGCAAGGCUUCCAGAAAAUACAGCAUACAAUUAAACCUUCAGAGAAAGGAAGCUGUGAGAAGCGAAACUAGACAAUAUAGACAUGAAUGCAAACAGUGUUUGCAAGACACAGCAAGGACAACCUAUGAGGCUUUCUUCACAAAAAGAAGUGUGGGAGCGUGUAAAAUCAACAGAGCAGUGUAUCUGCUUCCAGUGUCUCAGGUGAGGACAGUGAAAGGGCACUGGAUUAGGAAUGAGACAAUACAUUUUAGAUCUCGUUAUAUGCCACACUGAGAAUAGAAGAAUGGUUAGAACUGCUUGACCCAGGUAGAUCUAGGUUCUAAUUCCUUACCUUCCCUUACUUCGUAGGACUUUGGACAAGUUUUAGCCUCUCUAAACUAGUCCCUCACCUCUUACAGGGAAAUAAGAAUGCCUACUCCUUAGGGCCUGAUUACACAAAAUAAAGCACAUGAAGCAAUUAGCACAUCUAGCACAUGAUAACACUCAGUAAGUAUAGAUAACAUCAGUUACAUAUUCUUGUGCAAACCAGAGCCUCAUUCUAUAAUGGGAGUGAUAACACAGUAAAGUACUCUGAUACCUUAAAGUGCCAGGUGUGAUGAAGGGGUUACUACUAACUAGUAGGAGGCUGGGCUCACUCAUUGCCCACAUCAAAUGUUACCAUUUAUUCUCUUUACAACCAGCAGGUUAUCAUUAGCGACAUGCUAUUACUUAGGACAAUUUUUAGAAAUGUUACUUUGAUAUCAAUAAAUAACAGAUUGACAUCUAUGCAACCACACGGAAUUUAUUGAACAUUUUCACAAGUGAUUUCAUUAAAGGAAGGCUUUUUCGUGCCUAUAUUGGUUACCAUCACUUUUGCCCCUAUCACAAUCUCAUGGUGUAGUCCUUGCAUGUAGCAGGAACUCAACAAAUGUCUGCUAAAUUGACAGAUGGAGCCCCAGACGACCUAAAACUUGCACUUUAGAAGCACUUACUUCAUCCUGAGCUAUUAUGAAUAAGGAACUCAAGUGACUGUUAAAAGCAUUCUACUGAUGAGUUUGAUAAUGUUCUAAAGCAACAUAUCUCAAAGGAAAGGAUAUUGAGUUUGUCUCCACCAUAAAAUCCUAUUUUUACACAAAGGUACUACUUAAAAAUGGUCUUCCAAAGGCCUCAGCAGAGGUUCUAAAGAGAUGUGACAAUAUGAAGAAGCUUGGGCUCUCCAAGUCAGUUUACUGACCACCUGCCUUCAGCAAGGCACCCAGCAGGGCAGUACAGGGCAAGGGGCACAUAUGGGCUAUCCCAUGUAGUACCAGGUACUACGUCAGGGAACAUUCAGAGUUCAAGUGCAAUGUCAGCAUGACAGGGUGGGACGGGAGGGACUCAGAAAAGGGAAAGGGCAGUACUGAAUGAAAGAGUUGAGUCCAGGAGAUCUUUCUGGAAGAGGUGUGAUUUGAGUUAGCCUUAGAACAGCAAAUAUGACUUGAACAGGGGAAAUUUGUGUGCAUGGAGUAUGACUACUUCUACGUGACUAAAAUGGAGCUUCUAUAUAAGA
rnacentral:lncRNA from 1 species